GGUUUGCAAGGUGACUUCUUUGAUGGGAAAGAACCAAACCGUGAAGCUACCGCGGAUGAGUUGAAGAUGUUGCAAUACAAUGCUCAAGCUUGUGAUAUUCUCUUCAACGGAUUGUGCCCCGAAGAAUUCAACAAAAUCAGCCGCCUUGAGAAUGCAAAGGAAAUUUGGGACACUUUGAUUGAUAUGCACGAAGGUACCGACUCCGUCAAGGAAUCCAAGUUGGAUGUGCUUCAAAGCCAACUUGACAAGUUCAAGAUGAAGGAUGGUGAAGGUGUCGCCGAAAUGUACUCUAGGCUUGCUCUCAUCACAAAUGAGAUUGCCAGCUUAGGAAGAGAAGAGAUGACCGAUAAAUUCAUCAUCAAGAAGAUCCUAAGAGCCUUGGAUGGAAAAUAUGAUACCGUGUGCACAUUGAUCCAAAUGAUGCCAAAUUACAAAGAUCUCAAGCCAACGGAGGUGAUUGGAAGGAUUGUUGCUCAUGAGAUGUCACUUAAGGAUAAAGAGGAACUUCACAACAAAUCAAGUGGUGCCUAUAAAGCCUCAUGUGAAGCCCCUACAUCAUCAAGUGAGAAACAAGACUUCAAUGAAGAAUUGAGCUUAAUGGUGAAGAACUUCAACAAGUUCUACAAGAGUAGAAGCAAAGAUAGAAGCUCCAAAUCAAGGUCCUACAAUGACAAAAGAUCUUCUAGUCGAGAGCGAAACUACUACAAUUGUGGAAGACCCGGACACUAUUCCAAUGAGUGUACGGCUCCCUACAAGAGAAGAGAAGAUUCUCCAAAAAGAAGAAGCAAAGGAUCACCACCAAGAGAGAGAAGGAGUAGAGAUGAUCGUUAUGAACGAAGAUACUCACGGAGAAGCAAGGACUCGGAAAGGAAGGAA
rnacentral:rRNA from 1 species